AUCUCUCUCUCUAUAUUCCUAUUCCUAUUCCUAUUCCUACUUCUCAAUAACUCCGUCAACCUGGAAUUAAUAGUUAGUCUGAGGCUACUUUUGUAAGUUCAUGUUAAUCCGUAAAGCUGACUCUGUAUUGUAUUGCUGGCCUUACACGUGGUGUUCUUUGUGAAUUGUAAAAUUGAAUACAUAUCGUCUCUUCUGUGACUUUUUUGCUUCUCAAGUUCUUCCUCUUCGUUUCUUCGUCUCUGUCAAUAUUCACUUUUGCUAAAGAGAAAAUGAAGAAAGGCAUUCACCCUCAAAUGCAAUGGAUAUCCUAUGUGACACAAAGUGGACGAUUGAUGCAUGUUAUGAUGACCAAAAUACACCAAACAGGCAAGGUUUAUCACAUUAGAGCAAGGCGUCAAAUGGCUCAAAGUGUUGGUCAGAUUGCAAAGUUUAAGCGCCGGUAUGGUGAGAAGGAGGAGGAGGUGGUGGAGAAAGCAGAGAAAUGAAGGUUUAAGUUGGAAAAAGAAUGAAUUACCAGUCUUGGGCUCUCUGAUGAUUUUGUGGAUGAAUUCAUCCUUACCUUUUCCCUCUUCAUUUCGUCUUAACUUUUCUGUUUAAGGAAUGAAUACUGGUCUUCUUGUAUGCUGUCACCCCUUAAAAUGUUUGUGAAACAUUAGUGAAGAAACAUUGGCUCAUCCUACUCUCCUUGUUUGAAAGUAUUUUAUGAGGUUUAAGAAACUUUAGUGUCUCUAUCUUCUUAUUUGGAAUUAUUGAUGCUUCUUCUUCA